UACAGAGGGUGCGAGCGUUAAUCGGAAUUACUGGGCGUAAAGCGUGCGUAGACGGUUACAUAAGUCGGGUGUGAAAGCCCCGGGCUCCACCUGGGAAUUGCAUUCGAGACUGCGUAGCUAGGGUGCGGAAGAGGGAAGCGGAAUUUCCGGUGUAGCGGUGAAAUGCGUAGAUAUCGGAAGGAACACCAGUGGCGAAAGCGGCUUCCUGGUCCAGCACCGACGUUCAGGCACGAAAGCGUGGGGAGCAAACAGG
rnacentral:rRNA from 1 species